GGAUUAGAUACCCUGGUAGUCCACGCCCUAAACGAUGUUCACUAGGUCUUUGCGAUAUACUGUAAGGGCCACAGCGAAAGCACUAAGUGAACCACCUGGGGAGUACGUCGGCAACGAUGAAACUCAAAGGAAUUGACGGGGGUCCGCACAAGCGGCGGAGCAUGUGGUUUAAUUCGAUAAUACGCGAAGAACCUUACCUAGGCUCGAACGCUACGGGACCGUCUGUGAAAGCAGGCUUCCCUUCGGGGCCGGUAGUGAGGUGCUGCAUGGCUGUCGUCAGCUCGUGUCG
rnacentral:rRNA from 1 species